CCGAACUCCAGCCCAGCGAAAUACAGAGAAAAGAGGCCUCUGCUAGCAGGGAACUUACGUAGGCCUGUAGCUUGCUGACGUCACUGUCGUCGAUGACGUUUGAAAUGAGGGGAUUGGAACGAGUAAAGAGCCGGAAGUUUGUACCAACUCUGUCGGGAGGAUGAGGAAGUGGUACGAGAGGACGAUUGAACGGCGGGUUGUCAUGGAAACAGCCGUACUUUGGGUAGCAAAUCCCUUGACCUGUAAAGAUUUGGAAUGCCUGUGUUAUCUCAGGGACAAAUUCUAAUCUUAAAAAUGUGAUAUUGAAUGAAAACGUUUUAUACUAUAGUAAAGUUUAUUAGGCCUACUAAUGGAUGUGAUAAUAUUUAAAUGUGCUGAAUUCUCACGAUUUUGAAAAGAAGGUUUUGAGGUACAGAAAAGGAUAUUGUAAAUGUUACAAUUAAUGGAGAUUAAUUUGGCUCUCUAGAAAAUAAAUCCCCCGGGGAUUUAUUGUAAGACUGUAAGAUUGUAAGACAUGUAAGACUGUGUGGUAGAAUAGAAGCUGGGUGCCAAUAAGUCUGAAGCUAUGCUUAACCCCCUUUCACGCCAUGAAGAAUUUGCCUUCGCCUAUUAAGAAAAAAAAAAACAGUAUGUCUAAUGCUUUUGUAAUAGUUUCGGUUAAAGAAAAUGCCUGUCCGUCUGUCCAAAGAAAAUAACAAUGCCUUUCAGUCUUUCCAAACAAGCACAGUAAACACGUUUCUGGAAGACGUACGGCAGCCCGGAAGUAGAGGUUUUUUUUGUGUGUUUAACCCUAUCGCGUCGCUAGUAGGUUCCACAUGUAAGACUGUGUGGUAGAAUAGAAGCUUUUUUCUUUUAUUGAGCAAAGUUAUCGCAAAACAUAAAAAAAAAACGUUAAACUUCCGAUUGCCGUCAGUCGCGUUCAUAAACACAGAAACGUCCCUAAUGUUGGGAGGAUGAUAGAAAUUCUCAAUUUUAUAAAUGAAAGGAAAACGGCAACAUAAGACAUACCUGCCGAUGCAAGACCAAGGAAUGUUGACGUUAGAAACAAUAGCACAAGCAUCUCAGAAACAACUCUGAAAUUUAAUAUCACAUAUUCAUUAGUUAUACUUGAUUCUGGCGAAGAGAUUGAAGUAGACUACUUGUUUCCCAUUGGCUGGCUUUCCUGCAGGGCCCAGGCCUCCGGGUAUUAAGAAAUUCGUAAUUCUUCUACCAUUUCAAGAAUAAGUUAUUGAAAUAGUAGAAUAGUUGAAGUAUUUUCUACUAACAAAAUAAAAUCAAAAUCUGCA